rnacentral:tRNA from 1 species
UGGGGUGUGGCUCAGCGGUAGAGCGUUCACCUAGACAUGCGAGACGCUGGGUUCCAUCCUCAGCACCUCAU